AAAAGGAGGUGUUUUUUAUUUUAUUAUAUAUAUAUAUAUUCAUGUUAAUUUUUAAAACAAUUUUGCUGUCUGAGUGUCUCGCUCCAAUUUAUAGGAGGGAGAGGAGGUUCUUUGAAAUAUGUAUGCCCGGCGUGAGAUUAAGAAACAACGGUUCAAAUGUUGGUCCGACCAGUUUAUUACAAAUGUUAAUAAGGGAGACGAAGUAAGGGGAGGACGAACACUAUUACGGAUUGGGGUGACGGGGAAGGGAAGGCGAGCGAUAGAAAAGAUAGAAAGAGGCAAGAAUUGCGUAAAGCGGGGAUAGUCACCACCAGGAUCCAGCAGCAGUCCCGUUGCACGACGUUCCGACGGUCCGAGGCCGAAGGGCAGGAGCAGCGAGGCCGGUCUUGGGCAACAAGAGGGUGCAGGUACCGGGUGGGUCCAGGAAGAAGCCGCAGAGUAAGUCUGGGAGGAAGCAGCAGGUCUCAGGUAGCAGGCCCAGGGAAGUCCGU
rnacentral:lncRNA from 1 species